UCAGCAGUUCCCAUACAGAUGGCUUCCUAUUUAGAAAGGCCUUGAGUUGCAUAGUGCAAUGGAAAGCACAGCAAUGACAGCAGAAUAGCAAGGUCCUAUGUUGCAGCAAGUGAGAACAUGCUCAAAUGCAACAGUAAUGGGCACAGAAACAAAAGAAUCUGCUUAUGUUCUGAAGGUACUCAGGAAUCUCCAGCAAGAUACCCUCACCUCCACUGCCGACUCUUAAAUGAGGUCUCGGAAGAGGAGGAUCCUGGCUACACCCCUUCGGAUCACUCAGAGAGAGAAACUUCAAGACAUGAGUAUACCCAGUUCUUGAAGUCAAGUGACUUCAGAAUUCCCAAAUAUCAGCACACAGGAGGCUCAGCACACUGCAACUCAAAACCUCUGGAGCUUGAAACCUCAGGAAAUGGAAACUUGCAGAGAAGAGGUCUGGAGGUGGGGUAGAGCACUGCCAGAUGGCUGACAGAAAGAAGGGGAGAGAAAAGAAUCGUGCUGAGGUAGAGGAAAAACAACUCACAAAGCAUAAUGCAUUCAGAUCAGAAGAAAUGACUAAUCUCCUCUCCAGAGCACAGCAAGAACUGCCAUGUGAAACAUCAGCUCCAGUAGCAAGUGAUUUUACUUUCCCAGCAUACUGCAUGACAAGUUACCUUGUGACAGGAUUGGAAAAAUUGGGACUGAAGGACAUAGAAUAAUGACUCGUGUGCUGAAAAGAUCCAAAGUCGACAGCUUUGAGAGUGUGCUUUAGAACAACUUCUGGAGGAAAAAAUAAAUUAUGGACGUGAGAAAAAGGGCUUAUUGAAUUAAAAAAAUAAUGAAGAAAAAUCAAAAUACCAGUAUUUGAUGCUAUUAUGCUAUCAAAUGCAGGAAAAGUGAAUAUUCUAGUAGAAAUCUCUGAAAUAUCUUUUACUGUGCGACAAAAGAAAUACUUAAAACAUAGAAAGAAAGGAUUAGUGCUGGAGCUGCCAGCUGGGUUCAGCUAGGUUAGGUCCUAAAGAAAUCUUUCAUUUCAGUUCAGAACAACCGAGAACUUGUUGGUAUUCGUCUUUUACUGUAGCACAGCCCACAGGAUGCUUUUCAGUGCAAAGAUCACUGUAAGAUACCAAAAUCUACAUCAGUAUUGGGCAUGAAAAAAAGGGACAUUUCCUAUUCUAUGUCUCUAACAAACGAUUAUUUAGUUUUAUCCACAGAAUUUCACCUACUGAGAGAAAUAGCAGAUUUUACAUGGCCACAGUACAAUGUGAGGAGAACAAAACAGUUACAGAAGUCUUGAUGAUUUUUAACUACCAUUAAAAAUUGAAUUAUGAGUUUUGUGGAACAUUUUGCUGCUUCCUUGGACAGAAUGUAAAAUUCUGAUUGCUCUCUCACCCAUUCCUAAAUGUUUUUUGUUUGCCUGGAUGCUCUCAUGUACAUUAUACACUGUUUGUGGCAUGCCACUCUGUCAUACUUCAUUGACUAAUUGCUGAUAAUUCAAGCAACAAUAUUUAACAUUUCUUCUAUUUUACCAAACG